UAGCUUCGCUCCAAUAUUUCAAUGGUACUUUGGUUGCUGUUAAGAUGCGUCAGGUCAUAUUACAAAUUGUUUGAAUGCUACGUUCACUAUGCAUAACUGAGGAGUAUCCUUAAAGACUGGUAUGUAGAAUACCUUCUCGUCUUAAGAAAGCCUUUAAAGUUUCGUCUACAUAUUCACUCCUUUAUCGUGAAAACUGCUAUGUUUAGUAUUAGCCUCGUUCCAAUAAGAACAAACUGGUAGCUAUCAAAAGAAGGUAAAUCCUAUUGGAAAGUAUCCAAUACAAAAGUUGACCAGAUAUAUUUCGCACUGACGGAUCUUAAAGAGUUUAACUUACGGGGCCGUGUUUUUAAGAUAUAGCUAACUUGUACUGUUCUAAGAAUGUCUCGUUGUUCUGGUCAAGGAUCUGAGGACAUAAAGCCUUUGAGCCUAGAGGUUUUUUAAUAGAAGCUUCAAGUCAAAUUUUGUAGUGUACAUUCUCCUUUAAUUAUCAUACUGAAUUUAGAUUAUGAAAGAAAGAAGGGCUUAGACUACGUUGCCCUUAUGUUGAACUUAUAAAUAAGCAGCUUGGGUUUUUAGGGAAUAUCGAAAUUGACACGGCUUCUGGGCUUUUUUUGAUAAAGGCGCUUAGGCAAUGUGCCCUAUCUUGCCACAAAAGAAGAAACAUUAAUGGUUGAAUUUUUUCUGUCCCGUGAGGUGACGUUACCAUAAGUUGUUGUUUUCAAAGAUGUAGAUGCGGUUCCUUCUUCUUAUUUUCUAGUCUCCGCUUAUAAUAACAAAGCAUAAUAUAGUUCAAUUCGUUCGAAUCGGUGUAAAGUUGCUCUAGUGAUAUCUUGUCGUACUUAUAUUAGCUCCACACUGUAAAUUAGAGCAAUAGUUUAAAGUAAUCGCGAAUUUUAGAGAUAAAAGGGGUUAAUUCUUUUACAGUACAAUGCUCCUGAAUUUCUCGGGCUAAGUGAUUAAGUCUGUUAGCAUAUUGUGGAAUAGACUCUUCUUCUCCUUUUGAAGUAAUACAAAGUCUUGCAUUUUUACCAAUGAAGCAGCAAUUGAUCUAGGCCAAAAGUAUUUUUUCACGCUUCAAGGUCUGUUUCAGGCUGUAAUAUCUAUAUUGCCUUUUUGCUUUUUAUGUCAUCAUGUACGCUACUCAUAACUAUUUGAAUGCCUGUGACAGAUUUACGAGUUUUUCAUGUGAACUUAUUUCUUUUUCUCCUAUUUUCUCAAUUAUAAAGAAUAAGUCAUGUAUGUCAUGGCAGGGCAAGGUCAGUUUGAUAUCCAUUAGCCAUUACAAGGUUGUGAAAACCCCCGGAGCCUUUGAGUAUUCCAGAGGUAGAAGAAUGAGUUAAAUGAAUGAAGGCGCAAAAAGAUUGAAAAGGAUGAAACUUAGUAGGUAAUAAAAGAAAAAUAGAAAUAAUGAGGAACUUUUUGAAAUGCGCGAAAGAGUAGAAAAAGAGAAAAAUUGAAAGGCAAUAUUCUCAAGUAAAAUAUAAAA